GACAGAGGGUGCUAGCGUUGUUCGGAAGUACUGGGCGUAAAGGGCGCGUAGGCGGCCCGUUUAGUCGGGUGUGAAAUCCCGGGGCUCAACCCCGGAACUGCACUCGAUACUGGCGGGCUUGAGACCGGAAGAGGUGGGUGGAAUACCCAGUGUAGAGGUGAAAUUCGUAGAUAUUGGGCGGAACACCGGUGGCGAAGGCGGCUCACUGGUCCGGUUCUGACGCUGAGGCGCGAAAGCGUGGGGAGCAAACAGG
rnacentral:rRNA from 1 species